rnacentral:lncRNA from 1 species
AUUGGAAAUCGCAGUUGAACAAAGGGCGGGCUGAUCUCUUUACAGCUUCUGCCUCCGGGUAGCUCUGAUCCAGUAUUGCAAAGAAAGCUAGCCGGCAGCUGGGCUCUGUAGGUGGUGAGCUCACAGUCAGGUUCCCCCACGUGGUGGGACGUACUCGUGCCCCACGGAGUCCGAGUGCUUUGUGUUUCUCCUUUUGUUCGGUGAGCGGGACGGUCGCGUCACCGGCAGAGGAGGAAGGGCCGUGCCUCAUCAGAGAGGCCAGAUGAGGCUGCGGAGGCUAGCGGGCAACUCAGUGGCUCGUGGCCUUGCCUGCGUGAAGCCUCUGCUCUCCUUGGGUCCCUUUUCUGGCCAUCUCAGAGGACAGGGACUCGUGGGACUCAGAGCAUCACUCAAAAUCAUAGCAGCCUUGGAUGUCCUGCUGCUGCCGGGGAUUGCACAGCUUCAGACUAUGGGGGAUUGAGGGCAGUGUAAUGGUACAUCAGUCCCCUCGCACAUCUUCCUUCCUUUCCUCUUGUACGUGGGGGAGGAGCAGAGUCUGACAACCAAACCCUGUUGCAGGCAAUGGAGAAUUCGCAUACGUCCCCUGAGGGUGGUGGGCCUUGUUGGGAGAGGCAAAAAGCCUGGCCCUUUCUCCAAGAGGCAAACACCCGGAUUAAAAUCGUGGAUGGAGUGAAACGCGUUCAAAGACCAGCACGUGGAAAAGACAAAUCCACGACAGAGAGACCCGGGACGGGGCAUCUGGGCCCACUGCAGGGCGCCUGCAGUAUUUGCGUGGUCCUGGCAUCUCUCACCCUGACAGGCGAGCAGUGGAAAAAAAACCUCCCUCAGCCCACAUGUGUCCUGGAGGGGAUAUCGAGUCUUGGUGAGGAACCCACCCGGAACGAGACAGACAGUGGUGUUGCCAACCCUGUCCAGCUGACUGGCACAGACAAAAUUGUCACUGGAGUUGGCGCACAAAUUUUAAGACACGACCAAAAAACUUUACAUUUAGUCUCUUUUCUCAGUCCCUACCAAGUGGGAACCAUUAUAUUUGAGGAAGGACUUUUGUCAUGGAUAUGCAGCAGGUGAUCAGCACGGUGUGGCCGGCUGGCCUGGUUCAGAAUCCAUUCUUCUACUGCAGCCUGUUCGGGAGAGAAAUGCAGCGGGGACAACGGCCCGUGCAACAGUGGACCCGAGGAGGAAUUUGGGACAGAGCCAUGAUCUCACUCCCAUGAAUCAAACUGACUUAAUCCUGAACAAUAUUCUCCAACAUGCCAUACAAUGAUGGGCUCUGCCAGCCAGCCAGAGCAUGCCCAGCCUGUUAUGUGAGCAAUUCCAGACCCCGCCAACAUGCUAAUCUGCUGAGGGGAAGCCAAACCCUCUUGCUGUUAGAACUGCUCCUGGCACAAAUCAAGAUGCCAGAGAUGCACUCCUCUUUAUCAUCAUGUCGGGGUAAGAUGGUGCUAAUGAGACGAGGACAUGCCUUAUAGCAGUGGUCUCCAAACUUUUCUGAUCGCGCACCCCUAUCAGUAAAAAAAGUUUUGAGCACGCACCCCCAAUAUAUGUAUAUUUAUAUAAAUAGAAAAAGUUCUAAUAUUUUCUUCCCGCACCCCAAUGGAUCGUCUUGCGCGCCCCACUUUGGAGACCACUGCCUUACAGGCCAGGAGAUGCAUACGGGCCAGCGAGAAGCAUUGUAUGGUUCUACAAAUAUCGGGCAGGACGAUCUCUUCAAAAUUGUCAUUUAUUUUAUGAUGCUCCAGAAAGCAUUGGGCACGAUGUAGAAGAUGAAGGCAGACUCUGUAACAGGACUCUGCAUAGAGGGCUAGGGCUUUUUUGCUGAUUGAUCUGUGUCUUGGGUGUUAGAGCUCUUGUAUGCAUUAUAGACUAAUUCCCAUUUGCUCACUCCAGCGUGAGACCCUAGAGCAUGGAAAGUUUUUGAGCGUCCCUCUGUAAGGUUGGUAGAAGGAAGGCUGGCAACGAGGCGGUCCUGGCUGGAGCAGCCAGUCUCAAGGGGAAACGAAGGCUAAAAUCAUCGCUGCUCCCAACAAGCAAUAUGCUUUUUCUUUGGGACUGCCAGCCACGUGGGGAA